rnacentral:rRNA from 1 species
UUUAUGGAGAGUUUGAUCCUGGCUCAGGAUGAACGCUGGCGGCGUGCCUAAUACAUGCAAGUCGAGCGAACGGACGAGAAGCUUGCUUCUCUGAUGUUAGCGGCGGACGGGUGAGUAACACGUGGAUAACCUACCUAUAAGACUGGGAUAACUUCGGGAAACCGGAGCUAAUACCGGAUAAUAUUUUGAACCGCAUGGUUCAAAAGUGAAAGACGGUCUUGCUGUCACUUAUAGAUGGAUCCGCGCUGCAUUAGCUAGUUGGUAAGGUAACGGCUUACCAAGGCAACGAUGCAUAGCCGACCUGAGAGGGUGAUCGGCCACACUGGAACUGAGACACGGUCCAGACUCCUACGGGAGGCAGCAGUAGGGAAUCUUCCGCAAUGGGCGAAAGCCUGACGGAGCAACGCCGCGUGAGUGAUGAAGGUCUUCGGAUCGUAAAACUCUGUUAUUAGGGAAGAACAUAUGUGUAAGUAACUGUGCACAUCUUGACGGUACCUAAUCAGAAAGCCACGGCUAACUACGUGCCAGCAGCCGCGGUAAUACGUAGGUGGCAAGCGUUAUCCGGAAUUAUUGGGCGUAAAGCGCGCGUAGGCGGUUUUUUAAGUCUGAUGUGAAAGCCCACGGCUCAACCGUGGAGGGUCAUUGGAAACUGGAAAACUUGAGUGCAGAAGAGGAAAGUGGAAUUCCAUGUGUAGCGGUGAAAUGCGCAGAGAUAUGGAGGAACACCAGUGGCGAAGGCGACUUUCUGGUCUGUAACUGACGCUGAUGUGCGAAAGCGUGGGGAUCAAACAGGAUUAGAUACCCUGGUAGUCCACGCCGUAAACGAUGAGUGCUAAGUGUUAGGGGGUUUCCGCCCCUUAGUGCUGCAGCUAACGCAUUAAGCACUCCGCCUGGGGA